GAUGAACGCUAGCGGCAGGCCUAACACAUGCAAGUCGAGGGGCAUCGGGAUUGAAGCUUGCUUCAAUUGCCGGCGACCGGCGCACGGGUGCGUAACGCGUAUGUAACCUACCUAUAACAGGGGCAUAACACUGAGAAAUUGGUACUAAUUCCCCAUAAUAUUCGGAGAGGCAUCUCUCCGGGUUGAGAACUCCGGUGGUUAUAGAUGGACAUGCGUUGUAUUAGCUGGUUGGUGAGGUAACGGCUCACCAAGGCAACGAUACAUAGGGGGACUGAGAGGUUGAACGGCCACAUUGGGACUGAGACACGGCCCAG
rnacentral:rRNA from 1 species